rnacentral:lncRNA from 1 species
GAAGUAUUGUUUGCUUGUUUUCUUUUGUGUAGGCCUUACUGACUCUCACACACUUUUAUCCACUUAGUGAUACUGCUUAUCCCUUCUUCUAAACUUUUUUGAAUCAUUUUAGCAACAAUUAAUGAACUUUAUUUCAUUUGUAUAUUUAGGAAGGCAACGAAAAGUAAUUGCCACUAAAGCAACUAAUAGGCACUAAAAAUGGAUGGCAACACUACUCAGAAAAAGGCAUCAAAGAAACUUCAACUUCUAUUGCAAAAAUCAUCAUCUGCAGCGUCCACCCUUGACCAGCAAGAAAGACGCCACACCGAGGAAUCUUCUUCAAACACAGUUUAAU